UGACUUUAAGUGUAACCAGUGUAACGGUACACAGAUGGGGUUAGUUUCAAUCCCACACAGGAGAACAUUAGAUCCACAGUAAUUAAGGUCAGACCAGGGCAACGCGUCUUUACAGAUUACGGAUUGUGCUGCACCGGUGUCUCGUAAGAUUUUGACUAAAGUGUGGUCCUCUGGUUCUCCAGUGAUAGAAACACUCCUAACUGACACAAAUGGAGCAUACCUAGGAUCCGGCUCAGCUCCAACCAUCUUGUCCGCAGCAACAGCGUCUAGGCGAGGAGUAGACUGGAUAAGACCGACACUUUUCUUGCUGCGGGGUGGUGACUGAGAGGUCUUUGCUUUCAGAACCGCACAAUCUGAAAUCAAGUGGCCCACUUCAUGACAGUAAAAACACUCUCUUUUUUCUGUAAGUCUUCUGGCGGGGUCAAGUGAAGACCGGCGUGCCCAAGACGUCGAUGGGACGACAGUAUGAGAUCCACUAAACACAGUUUUGUGGGUCAGAGCAUAUUCGUCCGCCAUAACAGCGGCCUGGGUCAACUUCUCUACCUUCCGCUCAUUCAAGUACACCACUAGGGAAAGCGCUGCGACCACUUCCUGGCCCUUCCCAGACAGCUUGCACUGCAGGAGAAGAGGCCACACCUCCUUUGGCCACUGCAGAGCGACGGCUACACGCUCAAAUGCUACGAAGUAGCGGUCUACUUCGGUCUCCCUAAACGGUGGAACCAUCGGAACGUUUUGGCUCACCUUAAAUGGAGGUGGCUCACGUGGCCCUGAGGUUCUGCCUGAAGAUGUGCCAUCUGUUUACGCAGCUUGUCUACCUCCCCUACCUCAGAUCCACCUGCCACUGGGGAAAACGGAAGAAACUUUGGCAGCGUCCAAGGAGCUGGAGCCUCUUUACGCUCCCCACUGUCCAUCGGCGGUGUGGGAGAGGAGACUCCUGCGGUCCCUUCCUCGGCACCCUCUACGGGAUCCUCC